GCGUCCUUGGUGUAACGGUAACACACGAUCCAUAACACUGUCCGGGGUUCGACUCCCCGAUGGCGCC